UUCCUCCCCAAGGUUGGAGCCCUGGCAGCGCCCUCCCUGAGGGGUGCCUCUGUGGGUCCCCUGUGCACCUCCUUUGCACACUCACUUGCAAAGAGGGGGGUAGCCCUGCCUCUUCCCUGGUCUCCAAAUGGGACCAAAUCUUUCUCCCGUAGGUGCAGCCCAUGUGUCAGCUAGGGCCACUAGUCCAUGUCAUCUAGGGAAACUACUCCUCCCUUUGGAAGAUGGAACCAGAAGAGGAAACCGCCCUACACCUGUAGCUGACCUUUGCAAUAGGAAGCUUCAACUCUAAACCUAGGCCUGUGGGAGCUGCCCCAGUUCCAGGCACACAAGGCAAAUGGCUGCAUCCUUGCUGCCACAGGCCUCCUCAAAAUGCAUCUUCCAGGAACCGAGAAUCCACCCUGCUCCACAAGGAAACAUGUGAGCGUCAGCCAGACACCUUCUCCUCCAUCAUCUCCCACAGUCCUUCCAUGUCUAAUUCCUGAAACCCAGAUGUCUGCUUCAGGAGCCCAAAAUAAAGUCUCAACUGUUUCACGGUCAAACCCACAUCUGUCUGGGAUUAGCAGAACAGCUACUUUGCACCCCCACACCACCCCCCA